UCCACUGACGUCCAUGAAAAAAAAAAUAUGAAUUUGCCAGCAUGCUUCUUACAUUUGACGUGUAUUUUAAUUUAUCACUCUUAGAAGUGGAGGAUAGUGGAAGAAAUAUCAGAAAAGCACUGAACAAGAGCUAAUAGAUGAUAUCAGAGUUGCCAAGAUAUUGUUAAAUUUGUUCCUUUCUUCCAUGAAGUCAGCAUCAAUCAUUAUUAUAUGAAGCCAAU
rnacentral:lncRNA from 1 species